rnacentral:rRNA from 1 species
UACGUAGGGUGCGAGCGUUAAUCGGAAUUACUGGGCGUAAAGCGCGUGUAGGCGGCCCUGCAAGUCGGGUGUGAAAUCCCAUGGCUCAACUAUGGAAGUGCACUCGAAACUGCAGGGCUAGAGUCCUGGAGAGGAAGGUGGAAUGCUUGGUGUAGCAGUGAAAUGCGUAGAUAUCGAGAGGAACACCAGUGGCGAAGGCGAGUCCCUGGACAACACCUGACACUGAGGCACGAAAGCUAGGGGAGCAAACAGG